rnacentral:rRNA from 1 species
UACGUAGGUGGCAAGCGUUGUCCGGAAUUAUUGGGCGUAAAGCGCGCGCAGGUGGUUUCUUAAGUCUGAUGUGAAAGCCCACGGCUCAACCGUGGAGGGUCAUUGGAAACUGGGGAACUUGAGUGCAGGAGAGAAGAGUGGAAUUCCACGUGUAGCGGUGAAAUGCGUAGAGAUGUGGAGGAACACCAGUGGCGAAGGCGACUCUUUGGCCUGUAACUGACACUGAGGCGCGAAAGCGUGGGGAGCAAAUAGG